UACGUAGGGUGCAAGCGUUAAUCGGAAUUACUGGGCGUAAAGCGUGCGCAGGCGGUGAUGUAAGACAGAUGUGAAAUCCCCGGGCUCAACCUGGGAACUGCAUUUGUGACUGCAUCGCUGGAGUGCGGCAGAGGGGGAUGGAAUUCCGCGUGUAGCAGUGAAAUGCGUAGAUAUGCGGAGGAACACCGAUGGCGAAGGCAAUCCCCUGGGCUGCACUGACGCUCAUGCACGAAAGCGUGGGGAGCAAACAGG
rnacentral:rRNA from 1 species